rnacentral:lncRNA from 1 species
AGAUUCUCAACAGAUUUUUCUGCAUAAGUCAGCUUCAGACCUCCAACUUUGAAAUCGUCUCCUGAACUCAUUUCUCCUCCAAAAAUUACGGAACCAGCAUCGAUACGACCGUAACUGAGUAAGAUUUCCACAGCAAAUCAGAACCAAUCCAAACGGAGUUACUGAGAGGGAGAACUUACCAUUUAAGUGCAGACCUCUUCCAAACAAAUUCUGCAUAAAACUCUGCAUCCUUGCUCCAACUUCAAACACGUUUUCAAAGCUCGUUACUAAACCAAAUGCUACCAAACGAAUGACUAAACUGAAGGAAAUUUCGUCUAGAUUCUGAAAAUUCAACAAUUGCUUAAAUCCGAGUUAUAGGGUGGAAAUUAUGACAGAAAUACCAGGUCCAUACGAAAAUUUCUUAAAUUACCUCCAAUACUUAGAAUAUUCCAACCCAAAACAAGAUUCACGAAUACAAGCCUCAAGAGUGAAAAAGAAUUCUGAAUUUGGGUAAAAACAAGACAUCAAUUAAAAGGAAAAUCUUAAGGUUCAAUGGUGAAAGAACAGGAGAAACAGAAGAAUCAAUUUUCAUUCAUACCUUAACUUUCCUUUGGUAUAAAUUGAUGGAUUGUGACCUUAACUCGUACAUGCAUGCUCAACUGAAAGAGAAACUGAGCUUGGUCUAUCCUAAUUAUGGUUUCGACCAUGACAGAAGGGAAGAGAGUAAAAUAGAACCUAAAUCUUUCAUUUAAAGUGUCUCAUUUGGUGAUGGAUUGAGAGGAAAAACACAUGCAAAGUUUGUUGGUGAUGAUUUAGGGAGAGAUUGAAAAUGAUAAUGGUGGUUAUGGCAAGUGAAGAG